rnacentral:lncRNA from 1 species
GUUCUUGGAGACCACAUGUCCCAACAUGUCAUUGGCCCCACCCACGUGGGUGGCCACACACUUGACCUGGUUUUUUCCACCAACUGGAGUGAGAGUGGUCCGAUAGUGACUGACCUUGUGUCAGUCCCUCUGUCAUGGUCGGAUCAUCACCUAAUAAAAUGUAACCUCAACAUGGCCCUCCCCCCUCGCAGGGAGCAGGGACCUAUUGUUAUGGUCCGCCCUCGAAGGUUACUGGAUCUGAUUGGAUUCCAGGAUGCCAUGAGAGGUGCUAUGACUGACCUGGCUGGUGCUCCUGUCGAGGCUCUGACCAGCAGCUGGUUUUCUGUGGCAGCCAGGGCUGUACAUAUGAUCGCACCUAAGCGCCCUCUCCACCGCAGAGACCACCCGGCGCCCUGGUUUAACCAGGACCUCACGGCGUGGAAGCGGUUUAGGAGACGGCUAGAGCGCAAAUGGAGAAAGGACCCGAUGGACUAUAAUUGGAUAGCUGUUAAGGUCGCCACUAACCUUUACCUGGCUAAGGUAAAGGCUGCCAGUCGAACAUACUUCGCUAACCGGAUAAGCGAAGCGUCCAACCAGCAGACGGAAUUAUUCCGUAUAGUGCGCGACCUAUCCGGAAUUGGUCCGGGUGAUAGGCCUCCCCCUAGUUUUUCACCGGACCAAUUUGCAGCAUUUUUUAAAUCUAAAGUGGAGGCCAUCCGCCGGGACUUGUCUCCUGCUUUGAACACAGUGAGUCGAGCUGAGAUGUCCAGCGCUCCGUCUUGCCCGGUAAUUUUUGAUUCCUUUCAGCCUGUCAUGCCUGACACUGUGGCCAGGGCGCUUGAUCGCUGUCGUGCCACUACCUCCUCCCUUGACCCUUGCCCGGCCUGGCUAAUCAAAGCAGCCAGGCCUACAACAAUGGAAUGGGCCACUGUAAUAAUUAAUGGGUCUUUCCUUGAGAGCAGAUUCCCAUCUGCCCUCAAGGAGACACUCAUUAGGCCCAUUAGGAAGAAACCAAGUUUGGCGGCGGACGAAAUUCGCAACUACAGGCCCGUCGCCAAUGUUUCUUUCCUAAGCAAGAUGGUUGAGAAGGUGGUGGCCGACCAGCUUCAGGCGCACCUGGACGAAACAGAUGCCCUGGAUCCAUUUCAGUCGGGCUUCAAGCUGCACCAUGGUACAGGAGGCCGACAGGGGAAAAGUGUCCCUGCUGGUCCUCCUCGACAUCUCAACGGCCUUUGAUACCAUUGACCACGGUAUCCUCCUGGGGAGGCUCUCUGAGUUGGGAAUCGGGGGCCUUGCACUGGCCU